rnacentral:rRNA from 1 species
UACGGGAUAAUAUAUUUGAGAGGCAUCUCUUGAAUAUCAAAGGUGAGCCAGUACAGGAUGGACCCGCAUCUGAUUAGCUAGUUGGUAAGGUAACGGCUUACCAAGGCGACGAUCAGUAGCCGACCUGAGAGGGUGAUCGGCCACAUUGGAACUGAGACACGGUCCAAACUCCUACGGGAGGCAGCAGUGGGGAAUAUUGCACAAUGGGCGAAAGCCUGAUGCAGCCACGCCGCGUGCGUGAUGAAGGCCUUCGGGUAGUCACACCCCGUCCUCCAGGAUGAUAAUGACGGCACAUGAGGAGGAAGCCCCGGCUAACUACGUGCCAGCAGCCGCGGUAAUACGGAGGGGGCGGGCGUUAUCCGGAUUUACUGGGCGUAAAGGGUGCGUGAGCGGUCUUUCAUUUCAGGAGUGAAAGGCUACGGCUCAACCGUAGUGAGC